CAAUACUCCAAAUUUCUCUUCUACUCCUUCUUCUUCCCUCUCGUCCAGCCAUCGAGCCCCUCUUCUUCCUCACGCCUCUUGUUCUUCCCUCUCGAGCUCUUGUUCUUCCCUUUCAUCGAACCAUUUUUAUCCAUCCCUUCUUCUCUAGCCUCGAUUGAAAUCCUAACCUCCACUGCAAACGCCUCUUUCGUGUUUCCCUCUCCUCGAACCCUAGCCGCUACCACGUACUCCAUUACAAGGUUGAGGGGACUAGAGACCGCUCCACCAGUCAUGCCUCCUCGUUGGCUCUCCCCUUGGAACCCUAACUCAUUCUUAGACUCACGUGGAGACGACUGGAAUGGUAGCAUCGAAGUCUCGUGCUUACUGACUAAAGCUUUCUCACUCACACUCUCUCAUGGUCACUGGUAGAGAAGAAGAAUGUCCCACACUAACUAUUCUUCUCGCUCACGCUCACUCAAAGAGAAGAAGUUCGUCCAUUAUUCUCGUGUUCACUCACCUUGUUGGACAUCAUGCUCACUUGGGAGAGUUAUUCAUUCAAUCGAAUGGUCCGUUGUGGGGUUUGCGCAAAGAUUCACCGAAUAUAUUCGUUUGUUCUUGAAUAUGUAGUUGAUUUUGAUGAAUAGAGCUUCUGAAAUGUGAAAGACGGUGAUGGACUUAUUCCUAGGCCAAACCAUGGAAGUGAGAGUGCAAAAGAAGAAGAGAGAGACCGGAGAGUGGGUCGCCGUUGAUGCCAAGACCAAACCCCUCUUGGAGCUCCAGACGAGGUUGAAGGUGAGGUCCAGCGAUUAAAUGUUGUCAAAGCCAGUAAGAUGAAACAUUUGAUGUUUAAGAGGCAGAAUGAGCUUAAAGAAUUUUACAGAGGAGUUCACAUGGUUUGAAGGAAUUACAGAGUUUCCUUGAUAACUUGGAUUCAUCACGAGGCGCGUCACCCUAAGAUCCCCUUUGAGGAGGACAAGGUCGUCAACCUUCACGCCAUAAUCACCAGCGAAUCGUCGAAGUCGCGUCCAAGCAUUCGCGGAAGCCACAAGAAAUGCUUAGAUUUUGGAAACGAGAUACUCUUUGCAUUUUUAACUUAGUCGUAUUUUUGGGAAGACUUAAGCUCUAACCAUGUCAUCUUCAAAUGACCACUAACCAGGUAGUAAAUGUUGUAUUUUCUCUUUGUUAAUAUUUCUUGUUCCACUUUUCAAUAUUUUUAUUUGGUAUAUUAUUGCUUCAUAGUUACUGGAAGGGAUGACUUUACCGUUGAUGAUGGCAAGUUUACAUGAAUCUCAACCACUGUCUUGGCUUUUGAAUAAUGAUAAUCAUCAAUUAUUG